CAGCCGCCGCGGGAAUACCAGCAGCCCAAGUGGUGGUCGCGGUUAUUGGGCCUAAAGCGCUCGUGGCCGGGCCGGUAAGUCCCUUGUGAAAUCGGACGGCCUAACCGUUCGGCGUGCAAGGGAUACUGUCGGUCUUGAGGCCGGGAGACGUCCGAGGUACUCCGGGGGUAGCGGUGAAAUGUUCUGAUCCUCGGGGGACCACCGGUGGCGAAGGCGUUCGACGAGAACGGGCCUGACGGUGAGGGGCGAAGGCUAGGGGAGCAAAUGGGAUUAGAUACCCGGGUAGUCCCUGUCUCUUAUA
rnacentral:rRNA from 1 species